GAAAGAGGACAAGAAUCCAGAGGU
rnacentral:piRNA from 1 species